rnacentral:rRNA from 1 species
ACGAACGCUGGCGGCGUGCUUAACACAUGCAAGUCGAACGGAAAGGCCCUGCUUUUGUGGGGUGCUCGAGUGGCGAACGGGUGAGUAACACGUGAGUAACCUGCCCUUGACUUUGGGAUAACUUCAGGAAACUGGGGCUAAUACCGGAUAGGAGCUCCUGCUGCAUGGUUGGGGUUGGAAAGUUUCGGCGGUUGGGGAUGGACUCGCGGCUUAUCAGCUUGUUGGUGGGGUAGUGGCUUACCAAGGCUUUGACGGGUAGCCGGCCUGAGAGGGUGAACGGCCACAUUGGGACUGAGAUACGGCCCAGACUCCUACGGGAGGCAGCAGUGGGGAAUAUUGCACAAUGGGCGGAAGCCUGAUGAAGCAACGCCGCGUGCGGGAUGACGGCCUUCGGGUUGUAAACCGCUUUCGCCUGUGACGAAGCGUGAGUGACGGUAAUGGGUAAAGAAGCACCGGCUAACUACGUG